rnacentral:misc_RNA from 1 species
CCAUGCGAGUGCUAGCAUCCACUAA